AGUUAUUGUCAGUAGAACACACACUGAUCAUUACACACAUCAGAAAACAAAGGAAUGACUGGAAAAUCUCACUGUUUAACAAAAAAUAAGGAUGAAUUUGACAGUAUGCAUGUUUUCCAGUCCUAGUGACUUCUGCACUACACAUCUAAAGCUCUUCAUGUUAGAUGCAGGCAGCAGAACACAAAACACCUGAUCAUUUCUCUACCUCUGUUUCUCCACACACAUGUAGACUCCAUCUAACAACUUUAAAUCACAAGCAUUUUCAUUACACAAACAUUUCUCCCCUCAGCUGCAGGAACUGAAAUGAUUUUCUUGCUCGUUUGUACAGUUUAUUUACCUUUUAAUACAAUUUCAGUGCUUUUAAUUAAACACCAUAUUCACUUGGUUAUUUUUAAUUAUCCCAUAUAUGGUCAAAAUUUAAGUUAUAGCAUUUAUUAACAUGCACCAUUGCAAAGAUCUGACAGAAUGGUGAUGUAUCUGUAAGUUAAUAAAGUCUGUUAAAGUUAAAACUGGGAAUUAUAUCAGAGACUUUGACUUACACAUAACACACGCCGUAAAUCAGUGAAGUAAGAAGUGCUCAUACAGAGGAUUUAUAAAUGUGCCGAGAUAUUAAUAAUGUUUAUUUCUUUUAGAGCCCCCUCCUACAGAAAAAAACAGAAAUAUUACUCCAACUCCUUCAGCUGAUCCAGGAAUGAAGUGUCCUCAUCUACUGGUCACGGUCUUGUCCUUCAUCUCUUUACUCAUCCAGCUCUUCUGACUAGAUCACACAACAGGAGCUGACUGAGCUAAAAAUAAUAUUUAAGAACCACUAAAUUAACACUUUGUUGAUAUGAUUUCUGUUAAAAAGGUUUUGCAAGAGGUUUUUUAUCUGUUUGCGAAGCAUCUGCCAUACAAGUCCUCUUUAUCACACUCUAAAAAAUAACACAAUGGCUCAACUUAAAAAAAUUAAGGUAACAAUUUGCAUGCAUCUUUUUAAGUAAUGUUAACUUCGUCAUUAUUAAGUAGAUAUCAUGAACCUUUUAUAGUUAGACUAACACAAUUUGUUUAGUACAACCAACAUGAUUUGACUUCACCUCUAAGAGCUUAAUUAAGUUGAAACAACUUAAUUUUAAUUUUAAA